rnacentral:rRNA from 1 species
CAGUCGCCGCGGUAAUACAGAGGGUGCAAGCGUUGUUCGGAAUUAUUGGGCGUAAAGCGCGUGUAGGCGGCGUGACAAGUCGGGCGUGAAAGCCCUCAGCUCAACUGAGGAAGUGCGCCCGAAACUGUCGUGCUUGAGUGCCGGAGAGGGUGGCGGAAUUCCCCAAGUAGAGGUGAAAUUCGUAGAUAUGGGGAGGAACACCGGUGGCGAAGGCGGCCAUCUGGGACAACACUGACGCUGAGGCACGAAAGCGUGGGGAGCAAACAGGAUUAGAUACCCCGGUAGUCCUGUCUCUUAUACA